rnacentral:rRNA from 1 species
AUUGAACGCUGGCGGCAUGCCUUACACAUGCAAGUCGAACGGCAGCACGGGGGCAACCCUGGUGGCGAGUGGCGAACGGGUGAGUAAUGCAUCGGAACGUGCCCAGUAGUGGGGGAUAGCCCGGCGAAAGCCGGAUUAAUACCGCAUACGUACUGAGGUAGAAAGCGGGGGACCGAAAGGCCUCGCGCUAUUGGAGCGGCCGAUGUCGGAUUAGCUUGUUGGUGGGGUAAUGGCCUACCAAGGCGACGAUCCGUAACUGGUCUGAGAGGACGACCAGUCACACUGGGACUGAGACACGGCCCAGACUCCUACGGGAGGCAGCAGUGGGGAAUUUUGGACAAUGGGCGCAAGCCUGAUCCAGCCAUGCCGCGUGAGUGAAGAAGGCC